rnacentral:rRNA from 1 species
AACGAACGCUGGCGGCAGGCCUAACACAUGCAAGUCGAGCGAGGACUUCGGUCCUAGCGGCGGACGGGUGUGUAACGCGAGGGAACGUGCCCUUUGCUUCGGAAUAGCUCUGGGAAACUGGGAGUAAUACCGGAUGAGCCCUAUGGGGGAAAGAUUUAUCGGCGAAGGAUCGGCCCGAGUUGGAUUAGGUAGUUGGUUGGGUAAUGGCCUACUAAGCCGACGAUCCAUAGCUGGGUUGAGAGGAUGAUCAGCCACACUGGGACUGAGACACGGCCCAGACUCCUACGGGAGGCAGCAGUGGGGAAUCUUAGACAAUGGGGGGAGCCCUGAUCUAGCCAUGCCGCGUGAGCGAUGAAGGCCUUAGGGUUGUAAAGCUCUUUCAGCUGGGAAGAUAAUGACGGUACCAGCAGAGGAAGCCCCGGCUAACUCCGUG